rnacentral:rRNA from 1 species
UACGGGGGGGGCAAGCGUUGUUCGGAAUUACUGGGCGUAAAGGGCUUGUAGGUGGCCAACUAAGUCAGACGUGAAAUCCCUCGGCUUAACCGGGGAACUGCGUCUGAUACUGGAUGGCUCGAGUGUGGGAGAGGGAUGCGGAAUUCCAGGUGUAGCGGUGAAAUGCGUAGAUAUCUGGAGGAACACCGGUGGCGAAGGCGGCAUCCUGGACCGGCAUUGACGCUGAGGAGCGAAAGCUAGGGGAGCAAACGGG